rnacentral:rRNA from 1 species
UACGAAUCGUCCAAACGUUGUUCGGAUUCACUGGGUUUAAAGGGCGCGUAGGCGGUGCGUUAAGUCGGCGGUGAAAUACUUCGGCUCAACCGGAGAAUUGCCGCUGAAACUGGCGUGCUCGAGGGAGGUAGAGGUGCGUGGAACUUCCGGUGGAGCGGUGAAAUGCGUUGAUAUCGGAAGGAACACCAGUGGCGAAGGCGGUGCUCUGGGCCGGAACUGACGCUGAGGAGCGAAAGCGUGGGGAGCAAACAGG